rnacentral:rRNA from 1 species
CCUACGGGUGGCUGCAGUGAGGGAUAUUGGUCAAUGUGGGAAACCCUGAACCAGCAACGCCGCGUGAGGGAAGACGGUUUUCGGAUUGUUAACCUCUGUCCUCUGUGAAGAUACUGACGUUAGCAGAGGCGGCAGCUCCGGCUACAUACGGUCCAGCAGCCUCGGUAAUAAGUCGGGCGCCAGCGUUGUCCGGAUUUACUGGGGGUAAAGGGUGCGUAGGCGGCUCUGCAAGUCAGAAGUGAAAUGCAUGGGCUUAACCCGUGAACUGCUAUUGAAAACGGAGCGCUUGAGUGAAGGAGAGGCAGGCGGAAGUCGCGGUGUAGCGGUGAAAUGCGUAGAGAUCGGGAAGAACA